rnacentral:misc_RNA from 1 species
AACGCACGAGACCUGCGGACCUGCGGAGGGAUCAUUACUGAGUGAGGGCCCUCUGGGUCCAAACCUCCACCCGUGUUUAUUGUACCAUGUUGCUUCGGCGGGCCCGCCAUUGCGGCCGCCGGGGGGCCUUUUGUCCCCGGGCCUGCGCCCGCCGAAGACACUUGAACUCUUGUCUGAUGGUUGCAGUCUGAGUUGUGAUUAUUAUAAUCAGUUAAAACUUUCAACAAUGGAUCUCUAGAU